CCCUUAGAUGUUCUGGGCUGCACACGUGCUACACUGGCAGGUUCAGCGAGCUUCAUGCCCUGAUCUGAAAGAAAUGGGAAAUCUUUUCAAAACCUGCCGUGCUUGGGAUAGAUGUUUGCAAUUAUUCAUCUUCAACGAGGAUUGCCUUGUAAGCGCACGUCAUCAGCGUGCAUUGAAUACGACCCUGUAUUCUGUACACACCGCCCGUCGCUCCUACCGAUUGAAGUUUUCGGUGAGUUGACAGGAGGAUUUUUUUGAAACUGGUUCGCCAGUGGAUUUUAGAUCCAAAUGCCAACGAAUCGAUGGCUUUAGAGGAAGGAGAAGUCGUAACA
rnacentral:rRNA from 1 species